CUUUCCAUACACAUAUAUCCUUUUAUUAUGACAAUUUUGUCAGCUGAGGAGGUUGUAGUUGAGUUGAACUAUGCAUCUAUUCUGUUUGUAUGUAUCUUGUCCUUGUAUCUUACUCUUACAGACUUCAAAGGUGGAUGGAUUUCCCUUCUGGAUGUUUCUGCAUCAGGUGCUGCACAAGAACCUUGCAUUUUCCAGGAGGGAAACAAGAAAGCACCGUAUGUCCAGCCAGAGAAGGCACUUGCUAAGGUUGCUGCUGCCAGUACACUUGGGACAGCUGGUGAGGGAGCCAUCCUUACAAGGCAAUUCAAGAGCAAAUCUUCACUGUAAUCAGAGACUUGACCUCAGGCCUUACUCUUCAGCCAAAGAAUGGAAUCAGCCUGGGCCAAUAGAGGCAAAAGCAAGGCUGUGAUCUGGACAGUUUAUGUUUAAAAGAAUUGUGAGACAAAACAAAGGGCAUUGACAAAGGAGUGGGGAAUGACUGAUCUCUGUUUUAGUUAACUGUCAUCUCACUUUGCAACUACCAAUGAUGUAUGCAGAGAGCAGUAAGUCUGGUAACACUCACCUCUUACUUACAUUGUAUAGACAGAAAACAGGGAUUAAAUUAAUGUGUUAGAAGUAAAAACCUAGUAUAUUCAUUACAAUUACUUCAUUGUUUUCAUGAUACCUGCUUCCAUUUCAAUAUUUUUCUCCUGUGUUUGUAAAUACUACCAGCCAUCCAGAAAGAUGAAGUAGCCAUAUCUCUAAAAUAAGCUUUUAGUUUCCUGAUGCAAAUGUACUUAUGAAGUUUUUUGAAAUUUGUUUUCUGCAGCUGAAAUUGGGUGCACAGCCAUGUUUUCUUAAUGUAUCUUUGGUCAAUACAAAAUGCUGUGGAGUUUGGCAUCAUAAACAUGAUUUCACUUAUACUUGGCCUCAUUUGAAGAACUUACUUUAUGCACCUCUUCUAAACCACAGAUUAAGACGACCAAAUUGUCCUGCCUAACCUCACUCAACUGACAGAGAUAACUCCAUGUCAGUGAGAUGAUGGUUAAGCCAAAUGUCAAUAUCUAUCUGAAGAACAGUGUUUGAACAGCAGGGGUGAUAGAAAAAUUGCCAUUCCCUUCCUCAGCACAGCCAGUAUUUUAACAACUGCUCUCAAAUCAGUGAGCAUGGUACAGAGCUCAAGCUAAUAAAUGCUGCUGUGCUGCUAAAAUGGUUUUGUGG
rnacentral:lncRNA from 1 species